rnacentral:rRNA from 1 species
UACGAAAGGGGCUAGCGUUGUUCGGAAUUACUGGGCGUAAAGCGCACGUAGGCGGCCUUGUAAGUUGGGGGUGAAAUCCCGGAGCUCAACUCCGGAACUGCCUUCAAGACUGCAAAGCUCGAGGACGCGAGAGGUUAGCGGAAUUCCGAGUGUAGAGGUGAAAUUCGUAGAUAUUCGGAAGAACACCAGUGGCGAAGGCGGCUAACUGGCGCGUUUCUGACGCUGAGGUGCGAAAGCGUGGGGAGCAAACAGG